rnacentral:rRNA from 1 species
UACGUAGGGGGCAAGCGUUGUCCGGAUUUCUUGGGCGUAAAGCGCGUGUAGGCGGCCAUACAGGUCCGUUGUGAAAACUCGAGGCUUAACCUCGAGACGUCGAUGGAAACCGUAUGGCUAGAGUCCGGAAGAGGAGAGUGGAAUUCCUGGUGUAGCGGUGAAAUGCGCAGAUAUCAGGAAGAACACCCGUGGCGAAGGCGGUUCUCUGGGCCUUACCUGACGCUGAGGAGCGAAAGCGUGGGGAGCGAACAGG